rnacentral:rRNA from 1 species
GAUGAACGCUGGCGGCGUGCCUAAUACAUGCAAGUCGAGCGAACAGACGAGGAGCUUGCUCCUCUGACGUUAGCGGCGGACGGGUGAGUAACACGUGGAUAACCUACCUAUAAGACUGGGAUAACUUCGGGAAACCGGAGCUAAUACCGGAUAAUAUAUUGAACCGCAUGGUUCAAUAGUGAAAGACGGUUUUGCUGUCACUUAUAGAUGGAUCCGCGCCGCAUUAGCUAGUUGGUACGGUAACGGCUUACCAAGGCAACGAUGCGUAGCCGAACUGAGAGGGUGAUCGGCCACACUGGAACUGAGACACGGUCCAGACUCCUACGGGAGGCAGCAGUAGGGAAUCUUCCGCAAUGGGCGAAAGCCUGACGGAGCAGCGCCGCGUGAGUGAUGAAGGUCUUCGGAUCGUAAAACUCUGUUAUGAGGGAAGAACAAAUGUGUAAGUAACUAUGCACGUCUUGACGGUACCUAAUCAGAAAGCCACGGCUAACUACGUG